rnacentral:rRNA from 1 species
AUUGAACGCUAGCGGCAUGCUUACACAUGCAAGUCGAACGAGUGGCGGACGGGUGAGUAAUGUCUCGGAACGUGCCCAAUAGCGGGGGAUAACUACUCGAAACGGUGCUAUACCGCAUACCAUCAGAUGUGCCCAUAUGGGAUUAGCUUGUUGGGGGGUUAAAGGCUCACCAAGGCGACGAUCCGUAGCUGGUUUGAGAGGAGGACCAGCCACACUGGAACGGAGACACGGCCCAGACUCCUACGGGAGGCAGCAGGGGGGAAUUUUGGACAAUGGGGGAAACCCUGAUCCAGCCAUCCCGCGUGUAUGAUGAAGGCUGCGGGUUGUAAAGUACUUUCGGCAGAGAAGCGGUAUCUGAAGAAGAAGCACCGGCUAACUACGUGCCAGCAGCCGCGGUAAUAC